rnacentral:rRNA from 1 species
AUUGAACGCUGGCGGCAUGCCUUACACAUGCAAGUCGAACGGCAGCACGGACUUCGGUCUGGUGGCGAGUGGCGAACGGGUGAGUAAUAUAUCGGAACAUACCCAGUAGUGGGGGAUAACUAUCCGAAAGGAUAGCUAAUACCGCAUACGAUCUGUGGAUGAAAGCAGGGGAUCUUCGGACCUUGUGCUAUUGGAAUGGCCGAUAUCUGAUUAGCUAGUUGGUAGGGUAAAGCCUACCAAGGCGACGAUCAGUAGCUGGUCUGAGAGGACGACCAGCCACACUGGAACUGAGACACGGUCCAGACUCCUACGGGUGGCAG